rnacentral:lncRNA from 1 species
AUGGAGCGUCCAAUGGGACAAAAAGCAGCAAAAAGGAAGGGUAAGGCAAAGGAAAUUUCAAAUGCAACGCAAGAUGCAAGGAAUAAAAGAGAAGAAACAAUGGAUAGACUUGCGCAAAGUAAGGAGGACGAGAUAGAAUUAAAGGUAAUGCAAAUCAUGAUGAAAGACACUUCUACUAUGAACAAAAAUCAACGAGAUAUUCAUGAAAAAUAUUGUAAUAAAAUGAAGAAAAAAAAUAUGGACUGUAGUUAG